rnacentral:rRNA from 1 species
ACGGGAGGCAGCAGUGGGGAAUAUUGCACAAUGGGGGAAACCCUGAUGCAGCAACGCCGCGUGAGUGAUGAAGUAUUUCGGUAUGUAAAGCUCUAUCAGCAGGGAAGAUAAUGACGGUACCUGACUAAGAAGCUCCGGCUAAAUACGUGCCAGCAGCCGCGGUAAUACGUAUGGAGCAAGCGUUAUCCGGAUUUACUGGGUGUAAAGGGUGCGUAGGCGGUAUGGCAAGUCAGAUGUGAAAGACCGGGGCUCAACUCCGGGACUGCAUUUGAAACUGCCAGACUGGAGUACAGGAGAGGCAGGCGGAAUUCCUAGUGUAGCGGUGAAAUGCGUAGAUAUUAGGAGGAACACCAGUGGCGAAGGCGGCCUGCUGGACUGUUACUGACGCUGAGGCACGAAAGCGUGGGGAGCAAACAGGAUUAGAUACCCUGGUA